rnacentral:rRNA from 1 species
UACGAAGGGGGCUAGCGUUGCUCGGAAUCACUGGGCGUAAAGGGUGCGUAGGCGGGUUUCUAAGUCAGAGGUGAAAGCCUGGAGCUCAACUCCAGAACUGCCUUUGAUACUGGAAGUCUUGAGUAUGGCAGAGGUGAGUGGAACUGCGAGUGUAGAGGUGAAAUUCGUAGAUAUUCGCAAGAACACCAGUGGCGAAGGCGGCUCACUGGGCCAUUACUGACGCUGAGGCACGAAAGCGUGGGGAGCAAAC